rnacentral:rRNA from 1 species
UACGUAGGGUCCAAGCGUUAUCCGGAAUCACUGGGCGUAAAGCGUGCGUAGGUGGCGUGUUAAGUGUGAUGUUAAAUCGCGGGGCUCAACCCUGUCGAUGCAUCGCAUACUGGCAUGCUAGAGGGAAGCAGAGGCAAGUGGAAUUUGUAGUGUAGCAGUGAAAUGCGUAGAUAUUACAAGGAACACCAAUGGCGAAGGCAGCUUGCUGGGCUUCUUCUGACACUGAGGUACGAAAGCGUGGGGAGCGAACGGGAUUAGAUACCCUGGUAGUCCACGCCGUAAACGAUGCAUACUAGUCUUAUGGGGUAUCGACCCCCUGUGAGACGCAGCUAACGCGAUAAGUAUGCCGCCUGGGAAGUACGGCCGCAAGGCUAAA